rnacentral:rRNA from 1 species
GGAAGGGGUGUAUUUAUUAGAUAAAAAACCAAUGCCCUUCGGGGCUCCUUGGUGAUUCAUAAUAACUUAACGAAUCGCAUGGCCUUGCGCCGGCGAUGGUUCAUUCAAAUUUCUGCCCUAUCAACUUUCGAUGGUAGGAUAGUGGCCUACCAUGGUGGCAACGGGUAACGGGGAAUUAGGGUUCGAUUCCGGAGAGGGAGCCUGAGAAACGGCUACCACAUCCAAGGAAGGCAGCAGGCGCGCAAAUUACCCAAUCCCGAUCCGGGGAGGUAGUGACAAUAAAUACUGAUAUAGGGCUCUUUUGGGUCUUAUAAUUGGAAUGAGUACAAUCUAAAUCCCUUAACGAGGAACAAUUGGAGGGCAAGUCUGAUGCCAGCAGCCGCGGUAAUUCCAGCUCCAAUAGCGUAUAUUAAAGUUGUUGCAGUUAAAAAGCUCGUAGUUGAACCUUGGGCCCGUCCUGCCGGUCCGCCUCACCGCGAGUACUGGUCCGGAUGGGCCUUUCUUUCUGGGGAAUCCCAUGGCCUUCACUGGCUGUGGCGGGGAACCAGGACUUUUAC